rnacentral:rRNA from 1 species
UUCCUACGGGGGGCUGCAGUCGAGAAUCUUCGGCAAUGGACGAAAGUCUGACCGAGCGACGCCGCGUGCGGGAUGAAGGCCCUCGGGUUGUAAACCGCUGUCAGAGGGGAUGAAAUGCGCAUGGGUUCUCCCAUACGCUUGACAGAGCCUCAGAGGAAGCACGGGCUAAGUACGUGCCAGCAGCCGCGGUGAUACGUACUGUGCGAACGUUAUUCGGAAUUACUGGGCUUAAAGGGUGUGUAGGCGGCUGAUUAAGUAGGGUGUGAAAGGCUCCGGCCUACCCGGAGCAUUGCGCUCUAAACUGAUCGGCUUGAGUGAGAUAGGGGUGUGCGGAACUUCCAGGGGAGCGGUGAAAUGUGUUGAUAUUGGAAGGAACGCCGGUGGCGAAAGCGGCACACUGGGUCUUAACUGACGCUGAGACACGAAAGCCAGGGGAGCGAACGGGAUUAGAUACCCCUGUAGUCC